GUAGGUGAACCUGCGGAAGGAUCAUUAUCGUGGGGCUCCGGCCCUUUCGAGAUAGAACCCUUGCCUUUUUGAGUACCCGUCCGUUUCCUCGGCAGGCUCGCCUGCCAGUGGGGACCCGAAACAAAACCUCUGCAUCACCUGUAGUCGUCUGAGAAAACAAAACAAUAAAUCAAAACUUUCAACAACGGAUCUCUUGGUUCUGGCAUCGAUGAAGAACGCAGCAUCUGACUGACUACGUGGUUACGUAUCU
rnacentral:misc_RNA from 1 species